rnacentral:rRNA from 1 species
UACGGAGGGUGCGAGCGUUUGUCCGGAAUUAUUGGGCGUAAAGAGCUCGUAGGCGGUUCGUCGCGUCGGCUGUGAAAUCCCGAGGCUCAACCUCGGGUCUGCAGUCGAUACGGGCGGACUGGAGUACUGCAGGGGAGACUGGAAUUCCUGGUGUAGCGGUGAAAUGCGCAGAUAUCAGGAGGAACACCGGUGGCGAAGGCGGGGUCUCUGGGCAGUUACUGACGCUGAGGAGCGAAAGCGUGGGGAGCGAACAGG